ACGGGGCCCGCACAAGCGGCGGAGCAUGCGGAUUAAUCGAUGCAACGCGAAGAACCUUACCAAGGCUUGACAUACACCGGUAACGCCCAGAGAUGGGUGCCCCUUUGUGGUCGGUGUACAGGUGGUGCAUGGUUGUCGUCAGCUCGUGUCGUGAGAUGUUGGGUUAAGUCCCGCAACGAGCGCAACCCUCGUCCUAUGUUGCCAGCGGGUCAUGCCGGGGACUCAUGGGAGACUGCCGGGGUCAACUCGGAGGAAGGUGGGAUGACGUCAAAUCAUCAUGCCCCUUAUGUCUUGGGCUUCACGCAUGCUACAAUGGCCGGUACAAAGGGCUGCGAUACCGCGAGGUGGAGCGAAUCCCAGAAAGCCGGUCUCAGUUCGGAUUGGGGUCUGCAACUCGACCCCAUGAAGUCGGAGUCGCUAGUAAUCGCAGAUCAGCAACGCUGCGGUGAAUACGUUCCCGGGCCUU
rnacentral:rRNA from 1 species